UCGAGGGCAGUCCCUAUGUGGUCCUAUUUGACACGGGGUCAGCAGCCUGGAACCUGGACCGAUGGAAGGGGGAUCUGUGGGACGCCUGGGGUUAUCGGUAUGCCAUGACAGUGAGGCAAACGUCUUUGGAUCCAUGGUUUGCCUGGUUCUUUAAAGAGUUAACCGACCAGCUUGGAGACUCGCCCAAUGCCCUCGACCAUUUCCAUGAGUGGCAGGCAGGGGGAGGACUUAUUCUCUGUCGCUUGCGGAAGAUUCCCUUUGCAACCAUCCUCACAACCCAUGCCACUCUGUUGGGACAAUAUCUCUGUGCCGGAAAUGUGGACUUCUACAACAAAUUGGACAAGAUAUGGUGAUGCCGAACGGAUUGAACGUCAAGAAGUUCUCAGCCAUGCACGAGUUCCCAGAACCUUCACCCCACUAGCCAGGGUCCGAUUCAGGAAUUUAUCAGGGGACACUUCUAUGGGUUCUUUCCCUCUUUCUAUCCCUCUCUCUCCCCCUCCCUCUCUCCCUCUCUCGCUCUCUCUC